rnacentral:rRNA from 1 species
GACGAACGCUGGCGGCGUGCCUAAUACAUGCAAGUAGAACGCACAGUUUAUACCGUAGCUUGCUACACCAUAGACUGUGAGUUGCGAACGGGUGAGUAACGCGUAGGUAACCUGCCUGGUAGCGGGGGAUAACUAUUGGAAACGAUAGCUAAUACCGCAUAAUAUUAAUUAUUGCAUGAUAAUUAAUUGAAAGGUGCAAUUGCACCACUACCAGAUGGACCUGCGUUGUAUUAGCUAGUAGGUGAGGUAACGGCUCACCUAGGCGACGAUACAUAGCCGAACUGAGAGGGUGAUCGGCCACACUGGGACUGAGACACGGCCCAGACUCCUACGGGAGGCAGCAGUAGGGAAUCUUCGGCAAUGGACGAAAGUCUGACCGAGCAACGCCGCGUGAGUGAAGAAGGUUUUCGGAUCGUAAAGCUCUGUUGUAAGAGAAGAACGGGUGUGAGAGUGGAAAGUUCACACUGUGACGGUAUCUUACCAGAAAGAGACGGCUAACUACGUG